CAGCCGCCGCGGUAAUCCGUAGGUCCCGAGCGUUGUCCGGAUUUAUUGGGCGUAAAGCGAGCGCAGGCGGUUUGAUAAGUCUGAAGUUAAAGGCUGUGGCUCAACCAUAGUUCGCUUUGGAAACUGUCAAACUUGAGUGCAGAAGGGGAGAGUGGAAUUCCAUGUGUAGCGGUGAAAUGCGUAGAUAUAUGGAGGAACACCGGUGGCGAAAGCGGCUCUCUGGUCUGUAACUGACGCUGAGGCUCGAAAGCGUGGGGAGCAAACAGGAUUAGAUACCCCCGUAGUCCCUGUCUCUUAUACA
rnacentral:rRNA from 1 species